rnacentral:rRNA from 1 species
CUUUACUGUAGCUUUACAUUGGACUUUGAACAGAUCUGUGUAGGAUAGGUGGGAGGCUUUGAAGUCAGGUCGCUAGAUCUGAUGGAGCCAACGUUGAAAUACCACCCUGGUGUGUUUGAGGUUCUAACCUUGUCCCGUUAUCCGGGAUGGGGACAGUGUAUGGUGGGCAGUUUGACUGGGGCGGUCUCCUCCCAAAGCGUAACGGAGGAGUUCGAAGGUACGCUAGGCACGGUCGGAAAUCGUGCUGAUAGUGCAUAGGCAUAAGCGUGCCUGACUGCGAGACUGACAAGUCGAGCAGGUACGAAAGUAGGACUAAGUGAUCCGGUGGUUCUGUAUGGAAGGGCCAUCGCUCAACGGAUAAAAGGUA